AUUGAACGCUGGCGGCGUGCCUAACGCAUGCAAGUCGAGCGGUAACAGGUGUAGCAAUACAUGCUGACGAGCGGCGGACGGGUGAGUAACGCUUGGGAAUCUGCCUAUUAGUGGGGGACAACCCGGGGAAACUCGGGCUAAUACCGCAUACGCUCUACGGAGGAAAGCCGGGGACCGCAAGGCCUGGCGCUAAUAGAUGAGCCCAAGUCGGAUUAGCUAGUUGGUAGGGUAAUGGCCUACCAAGGCGACGAUCCGUAACUGGUCUGAGAGGACGACCAGUCACACCGGAACUGAGACACGGUCCGGACUCCUACGGGAGGCAGCAGUGGGGAAUAUUGGACAAUGGGCGAAAGCCUGAUCCAGCGACGCCGCGUGGGUGAAGAAGGCCUGCGGGUUGUAAAGCCCUUUCAGUGGGGAAGAAAAGCCUCGACCUAACACGUCGGGGUCUUGACGUAACCCAUAGAAGAAGCACCGGCUAACUCUGUGCCAGCAGCCGCCGCCGUAAG
rnacentral:rRNA from 1 species